UACGUAGGGUGCGAGCGUUUGUCCGGAAUUAUUGGGCGUAAAGGGCUCGUAGGCGGUUUAUCGCGUCGGGAGUGAAACACUGGGCUUAACCCAGUGCUUGCUUCGAUACGGGCAGACUAGAGGUAUGCAGGGGAGAACGGAAUUCCUGGUGUAGCGGUGAAAUGCGCAGAUAUCAGGAGGAACACCGGUGGCGAAGGCGGUCUCUGGGCAUGAUCUGACGCUGAGGAGCGAAAGUGUGGGAGGCGAACAGG
rnacentral:rRNA from 1 species